CCCACAGCAUCGCCCCUGCCCCACAGCACUGCCCCACAGCAUCGCCUCACAGCAUCGCCCCUGCCCCACAGCACCGCCCCACAGCAUCGACCCUGCCCCACAGCACCGCCCCACAGCUCCGCCCCACAGCAUCUCCCCCCCCAGUGCAGGCACCACGACGCUCACAGGGUCGUGCUCCCAGCGAGGGCGAGAGAGGCAGUGGCAGCACUCCCGCAGCCCCCUGGCAGAGCGGAUGCCGCGUUUGUACACCAGUUUGCCACAAACCGUGUCACACACAGUGGGUGGCGUGGCGGUGCAGGCUGCCCGGCUGUGCUCUUCCACAGCUGCUGGAGGCCCAGCUCUGCGCCAGCUUCACCGGAGGGCUUCUCCGGCACUGGAACGGCUGCUCAGUGAAGGGUUCUUGCGCUCAAUACACCCAAGUCGGAUCACUACAGAACGCAUUUCUUACAAGGAGAGAAUCCAAUGAAGCACCAAGGAAAUGAUUCAGAGCACCAGCUAGAUGGCCAGAAGAGGAACUGUGUCUGAGCUCAGCUGGAAUGAAUUACUGCAUCCCCAAGGAAGCAGUGAGAGUAAACAGCAGAAAGCCUGUGGGGAUAUCCAUGGUAGGAGAGUAUCAGGCUUGGAUUUCUCUCAUAUUCUACCAAGUGUCCAGCAUGAUUUUCAUUGCAGGCACUCAAUUCAGUUACAACUGGUAAGGAAUAAUUUUAUUUCUUCUUAAAAUGCUUAUUUUGUCAGAAACAAAUUCCCCAUUAAAGCAUCUGUUUAAAACUGCCCUUUGAAUAAUAAGACGGAAGAAAUGAAAAGCAUUUUGAUAAACAUGUCAGGCUUCCUCUCCAAUAUGGAAACAAUUUUUAAAAUUCAUCUUCUUUCAAUACAAUUUUUCAUAGAAAGACACUUAAAAGAAAUAUUUUUUAAUUUCACAUGAACAAUCACUUAAGACUGAUGUUCUUUUAUAGUUUUUCCAAAAACUAUUUUUGCUCAACUUCAGAAGAUGACAUUAUCUUUGAAAUUGUAAGAUUUUUCCAUUCUGAGAAUAGAAAAUUGGAGGAGGGGGGUUAAAAUCUUUUUUGAUUGACCAUCAUUGUGACCAAACCUGUUUUCAUUCUCACUUAAACAGCAGGUUGACAAUGGGUUGUAUUUUUCUCCAUGUAAAUUAGUCUAUCAUCUUCCAUUUGUUUUCACAAAUGUGGGGACAAACCUGAGAGACUUAGGACAAUCUUUUUUUUUUUUCCUUUUUUUUUUUGUGUAGAGACUCUAUUAGUGAGUUACAAGACUUCAUUUAGGAAAGUCUGGCUGCAAAUACCACUAGCUCACUUAAUUAAGGGAAAUUGACCGCUAGAUGAUGACUCCUGGCUUGCUUGACCUACUAUAUACAGCUAUAAAUGUUCUUUUUUAAGACAACACUCUGCAUUGUCCAUCAUGGUAUAAUUAGCAUGUCCCUUUCUUCUCAGUUUUCAUAAUUAAUAGUACAACUUGCCUUGACAGCCAUCUUUGGUCUGUCUACAGAUGGCCAUCCAUAUCUUACACAAAAUGGAGAGCUACGUAGAAUAGUUUCAGCUGGUAACAAAUAUUUAUUGAAAUGUCUUAAAAGGGAUUAUGUAUACUGGAAACCCUUGAGGCCUGAGCUCUUUUUGCUGAGAAGUGCCUACAACUUCUUUCUCUUGUACCCAUAACUAAGUACCAUUAGUCUUACUACUGGUACAGAGCUGGAGGAUUUUUUCUUUCCUACUACAAAUCACUUCUUUAUUUUACCAUUCCUAAGUUCAGCUGAGGUCUUUCAUAUUUCUGUAGGAGGACUGCCUAGCAAUACAAUUUAGGGUCAGUUUAAACAGAAUUAUUUUCUUAUUCUUGAACAUUUGCAAACAGGCAAACUUAAUGUAAAAAAAUGACAAUGCCUGUGUGUAUACAAGAUUUCUCAGCUCUCAAUGAGAGCACGCAACUGCAAACACUGGUCUUUAUAGAUGUAUUCUGAAAACAAUUUUUGCUCACAUCACUAAUUCCAUUACUUUUUAUUAUUACACUUUGCAUGAAAUAAUACAGUUUGCAAGACUCAGAUCUAAAAUAUUAAGCAUAUAUCCCUGGCAGCAGCAUGACAUUUUGCAUCAAACAUCUACGCUAAAACAUAAGUCUACUAAAGAAGAUAGCUUCUUUACCCAGCACCUUUACAUCUUGUGUGCUUCCAGACCAAUCUCUUUCUUAUUGACAAGAAAGGACAGGACAGAAGAGACUCUGGAGACUCUACUACUGUUUGGUAAGUAUGACUGACAAUCUUUUUUGACUUCUGUAUACCAUUAUCAACUAAAUAUCAAACAGAUUCUGAAAAUCUAAACUAUGCCUUAGC